rnacentral:misc_RNA from 1 species
GAAAUAGUUCCUCACUCCUCCAUUUGGCUUUCUCGCCAUGUAUUCCACAAGCACUAGUGCAAUCAACAGAAACACAAAAGAAACCAGAUCCAACAAUUUCAAAUGCCAUAAGAAAAGGCAAUGUAAAUAAUUCUACUCUCUGGUUGCACCUCUCAAAGCUCCAAAAUCAUUACUUGCUCCAAUGGGAAAGGCCAAGGUAUAAAUGAAAUCACCGACACAUAAUCGGC